rnacentral:misc_RNA from 1 species
GCUUGUCUUCCUGCUUCCUUACAUUUCCACACUAUUUAGCAGGCGGCCAUCCCCGUCAGACUUCAAAAAUUAUUGUGAUUCGAUUUCCUUUUCAUUUAACUUGAAAUUAUUAUUAUUGUUUUUUUUAUAAAUUGCCUUAGAGCUAUUCGCUUUGCCGCCUCAAUAUUGUAUUCUGUGCAUUCUUUCUUCUUUUAACUGUUGUUUUCAUUUUUUUUUUGUAUGGUCCAUACUGCUUGCGGUCGUUGGUUUUCUCGUUGGGGUUUUCGCUGGGCAUGCAAUUCGGCUUUUGAUGGGCACACA